rnacentral:rRNA from 1 species
UACGGAGGGGGCUAGCGUUGUUCGGAAUUACUGGGCGUAAAGGGCGCGCAGGCGGCUGCUCAAGUCAGGCGUGAAAGGCCUGGGCUCAACCCGGGAAUUGCGCUUGAGACUGGGCUGGCUUGAGUGCGGGAGAGGAUGGUGGAAUUCCCAGUGUAGAGGUGAAAUUCGUAGAUAUCAGGAAGAACACCCGUGGCUAAGGCGGCUCUCUAGUACGGUACUGACGCUGAGACGCGAAAGCGUGGGGAGCGAACAGG